AUGUCGCAACCCGCCAGAUCAGACGGAUGCUCACGCGUGGGAGCGGUGCUGCUCCGGCGAGCUCCUUCCCCUUGAGCACGGCGCGUCGUCGACAACCUCCAUCCUCUUCUUCCCUCUUCCAUCAGUCGAGCACAACUCCGGUGAGCUUGUUGACCAGCGAGUCCUACUGUCGCUGAUUCUACUAUUGUCACCAUCGCGUGGCUAUAGAGCAUCAAUGGCAGAUCGAGUAAAAUUGUCAUGGCAGGUCAAGUAAUAAUGGCAGCGACAACACAACUACCGGUGGCUAGAAAUGCAUGGUGAGAAUUGAAAAUCCGAGCGUAAGAGGAUUUUCGCAGCACAUGUUGUGUGUUUGCUGGAAUCUCUGGGUGAACUAACAAAGGUUUACUUUGUGAAAAUUCUAAAAGUGUUGUUUGGAUGAGAUCUGAAGUUCAAGUUGUUGGCCAGCUGAAGGUCCAUGAAUAGGCAAACGCCUGUAGUGAACACAAGGUUCUCAAGGCUAGGCCUCCGUGCUGUGCUCUAAACUUUUCAUCCUCAACCGCACGCCUGUAGUGAACAUCUUGUUCCGCUGCUGUUAUAUUGUAUCUAGAUCAAGCGUUGAUAACUCCCCCUGUCCAGUUCUAUAUUAUUUCUAAGUAAUUUUGAUGUCUGAAGUUUAUCUAUAUGUACAGGUGCAAAAAACUGAUCUUUUCCGUUGGUUUCAGUUUCACAGGUCCUUCAGAAAAAUGGGAAAAAGGCGUUUUCUUCCAUGUUUAUCUACAAAAUGUUUCAAUGCCUCUGUUUAUAGGAGGCACAGAGAUGUUUCCUGGACGGAUGUGCAAUCUAGUUUAAAUGGGCGAUGGCACAAAAUUAGGCUCUCUUAGGAGUCGGAAUGGCGCUCUUAGAUGCCCAUUUAAUUUCAGCGGAGCUGGUGCUUGUGUGUUCGGAUGAAGACAUGAAUUGUGUGCGGGAUUAGAAAAGAAAAUUGUGGCAGAGAUAAUGCCAUAGGCGUGGGUAAGUGGUGAUGUGAGGAGAUGCAUACACAUGUGUGUACAUUCCAAAUCUACACUCAUAUGUACUACUGCUUUUUUUGAGACAAAAAUGUGCUCCUGCUAAGAUAGAGAAACUACAUGUAUUUCUGUAUUUAUGCUUAAAAAAUCACUGAAAAAACAGCCCCUUUGGGUGCUUCAUGUACAUCAGUACAAUGUGUGCAAAGCUGAAAAAUACUAGAUAGGAUUACCUAUGUUGGAAAUAAUUUUAGUCUAUAUUCCAAUUCAACGGUCUUAGUCUGACCGAGAUGUUGUAGGCAGAGGUCAUAGCAUGGCUGCAGUUAACUACAAAUACAAUCGGAAGCAUUAUAGAUUAGAGAAAAACAAUACGGUCGAGAAGUUGCACUUUACGUGUGCGAUAGUUCGAAGGCGGACAUCCGAGGAGUUCAAAUUUUUCUGGGAAAGCAGGACAUCCGAGGAGUUCAAUUUUUUGGGGAAAGCAGAAAGUGUAACGCUUCCUUGGGUGAAUAUACUUG
rnacentral:lncRNA from 1 species